GACGAACGCUGGCGGCGUGCUUAACACAUGCAAGUCGAGCGGAGCGGCUGACGGGUGAGUAACGCGUGAGUAACUGCCCCCCUCUCUGGGAUAACAGUUGGAAACGGCUGCUAAUACCGGAAAGUGGGGGCUGACUCGCGUCCUAGCCGCUUGUGGGGGAGGUGGUGGCCUACCAAGGCGACGACGGGUAGCCGGACUGAGAGGGCGACCGGCCACAGUGGGCUGAGAUAGCGGCCAAAGGGCUACGGGAGGCAGCAGUGGGGAAUAGUGCACAAUAGGCGAAAUGAGGAUGCAGGAUCGUCGCGUGCGAGAUGACGGUCUUUGGGUUGUAAACCGCUUUCAGCCAUGACGCGGUAGUGGCAGAAGAAGCACCGGCUAACUACGUGCCAGCAGCCGCGGUAAUAC
rnacentral:rRNA from 1 species